CGGGGACAGCGAGUGGCCGGGCGUGCUGGCCGGGGGUCUGCAGGGAGGGACACGUGCGCGAUCAGAGACUGGUCAGCCACAACCCGCCUCCCCUCUCCCCACCCGGCAGAGCGCAGAAAAGCAGUGGAAAUACACUCGGAUUGAAAUGCCCCUGGCCCGCCUGUCCCGACCCCUGGAGAAGCAGCCAAGUUACCGGACAUCGUGGUCAGCAGGAGCUGGGUCAGAGGCUGGAUGCAGCAGCUUCAGGGACUGGGUGCCUAGGAGGGCUCCUGUGCAGGGAGAAAGGCAGAGAUGCGACAUUUUAAAAGUUUCACAAAGCACCCGGCUGCACCCAGGUCCCAGGAACAGGAGACACACAGAAUUAAUGUUUUAUACCUUCAGUUGUAGGUGGCUCUGAGGCCCUCAUGAAGAUCCCUGAUCUACACAGGACCAGAUCUCUUCUUUCUGAUGCAAGGGCCUGCUGCUCAGGUCUGAAUAAUGGCUGGAUGACAGAUGACUCUUCCGGAACUACUGGGAACCAGGACAGGGUCUCAAGGCA